rnacentral:misc_RNA from 1 species
GAAAUGCGAUACGUAGUGUGAAUUGCAGAAUUCAGUGAAUCAUCGAAUCUUUGAACGCACAUUGCGCCCUUUGGUAUUCCAAAGGGCAUGCCUGUUCGAGCGUCAUUUGUACCCUCAAGCUUUGCUUGGUGUUGGGCGUUUUUUGUCUUUGGCUCGCCCAAAGACUCGCCUUAAAACGAUUGGCAGCCGGCCUACUGGUUUCGCAGCGCAGCACAUUUUUGCGCUUGCAAUCAGCAAAAGAGGACGGCAAUCCAUCAAGACUCCUUCUCACGUUUGACCUCGGAUCAGGUAGGGAUACCCGCUGAACUUAAG